rnacentral:rRNA from 92 species
GAGAAGUCGUAACAAGGUUUCCGUAGGUGAACCUGCGGAAGGAUCAUUG